rnacentral:rRNA from 1 species
CGGACGGGUGAGUAACACGUGGAUAACCUACCUAUAAGACUGGAUAACUUCGGGAAACCGGAGCUAAUACCGGAUAAUAUAUUGAACCGCAUGGUUCAAUAGUGAAAGACGGUUUUGCUGUCACUUAUAGAUGGAUCCGCGCCGCAUUAGCUAGUUGGUAAGGUAACGGCUUACCAAGGCAACGAUGCGUAGCCGACCUGAGAGGGUGAUCGGCCACACUGGAACUGAGACACGGUCCAG